CUAGGUAGUACAUUACAUGUAUGUGUAUGUGUGUAUAGUCCCAUAGUAGGUAGUCUACGGUCGCAUGCACAGGUCUGGAAACUCCUGUGGUGGGAACACGGUGUAAUAGAUUUUACAUCUUAAAAUUUGCUUAAGAGGGAGCAAAAUAAUGAUCUUGUGUCUUCUACUGUACUGACUACUCUGUGGUAGCGCCGUUGGUGGCGAUUUUGAGAAGCGCCACAUAAUGUGACAUCCCUCACCACAGAAAUUUCAAGAUCUGCGUGCACCGUGGAUUCCUCAACACAGCAGUUUCAAGACUUGCAUGUACGACCGUGGUAUAGUCUAUCCAGCGAAACGAGAUAAUAAACGUAAACAAAAUUUAAUUGCUGAGAUUACAACUAUUGGUAGCAUCAAAUUUUGUUUACGUUUACUACCUCAUAUCGUUGGACAGACUAUAUACUGUUUUAUCAAUAUAUACGUACAUAUAUAUACAUAUUAGAAAUUCCUAUACCAAUAGUCGGAUGGUUUUGCAAUUUUCGUUGCAAAUGAUUUAAAAAGAUCCGUUCAAUAAUGUCUUUAAUAAUAUUCUUCGGCAAAAAGUUGCCAUCAUAAGCAACGAUGUGAUUAAUAAUAAUAAUAAUAAUAAUAAUAAUGAUAACAAUUUAUCUUUCAACCUUCUGGCCAUGAAAAGGGAUUCGGUUUACAACGGUAAUUACUUUUAUUUUCCUUGCUCUCUUAAUCAUACAUCCUUAAUUUCCGAUACACACUCCCUUUAUCUAACUAUUUAAUUAUUAAUCCAGUAAUUAACUAGCUUCUAUAUAUCCUAUGCUGACAAACCUCUCUAUUUUUUAUUUAUAUGUAUAUUGUACAAAGAUAUAAAAAAAGUAGUAUAUUUCAAUUACAAGACAUAUUAUAAUAAACGUGAUGUGUGGUAUAUGGUUUCACCUGUUGGGGAAUUUACGGAUAUUUUUGUUCCAUUAAGUCAAGUAAUGGUGUUAUUCUCGUUGAAAUAUAAUGAUAAAGUGUGAGUGAGCUAAAAAGACAAUAUAAGAAUAGAAAGAGAACGCUGCAUUGAGAUUUCUUGUGUCCUUGUCUAAUGACACAUACACAUUCUUAUAGUAAAUAUGUAACAUCGAUGGUAACACCGAUCAACGAACGAUGUCAGUGUGCAUACUGGAUUAUACAAGGACAGACAGGGCCUCUAUGCUGCGUUUUCUUUCUAUUCCCACAUCGCAUGGCAUGAUACACGGUGACAUAUAAAUUGCGUGCUCUAUUUUUAUACAUAUCUCUGUAUCCUGUUCGAAGUCAUGUUAGAAUUGUUUGUUCUCUUCUAGUGAGGUUAUUUUUCUGUAUUUUGUUAUUUACUUAUAUAAUUGUAUGCUGUAUAUUUAUUAAAAAAAUAAUUCUUUUAUUUUAACGAAAAGGCAGGAAAUAUGGUUUAAUAUUUAAUGCAAAUUAAUAAAUCCAUAAUGUUGAUGUGCAUGUAUUAUUAAGUUAAGCGGAAAAGAGUAAUAUGAAACUCGAACAUUCACUAACAUUAUAUAGAAAAUUCUGUGGAAUAAAAUUUAAUUAUACAUUUCUGAAACUAAAUUAUGCAGUAUAAAAACGUCCUAUCUUUUUAGUAAAAUUAUCCGCGUUUUAAUUCUUAUACAGAGUUUUACUAAUGUAUUAAAUUAUUAAAUGAAAUAUACCUACAAUUAAAAUAUAAGUAUUGUAAUUGUCUUUAAAGUAUUGUUUAUAUAUAUAUACAUAUAUAUUGAUUUUGUAGGCACAACCACGUGCUAAUCCCUUUUUCAAGGCUGAAAGAUAGGAAAAUAAAGUUAUCUACGUAUCUAUAUAACUAAAACGUUUGUAAAAUAAACACGUGUGUAUACUUGAGCAAUAUUAGAUGCAGUUGAUACGAAGUUAAAACUUAUGCAUAAAAUAUUUUAUGAUGAUAAAUAAUAAUAUAAAAAACAAAACAGGAUAACGAAAAAAUAUAACAAAGUAUAAGCAAUUAUGUAAUUUAAUAAAUUAUGGUAUUGUUAAUAAUUAUCCUGCUUGAUGUUAAAAACAAAGUAUAUUAAUAAAGUUUGGUACUAUUAAUAAUUAUUCCAGUGUUAAAAUAAACUAGUGGAAAGGUAUAUUAGUUUUGACGCAAAGAAAUUAUAAUGAACGAAAUUCAAUAUUCACGUUAAUUAUAAUGGAAUACGGAUCAAUGGAUUGUGUUACAUUUUAAUAGUGUAUAGAUUAUAUUGCUCUCAAGUUACUUGUAUAUGUACGAACUUUUGCAAUAAGAUCUAACGUUGCCUUAAUGCUUACAAUGAGAUAAUUCUAAGAAUAAACAUGGUUACUUUAUUAUAAAUUCAA